AAGAAGAAGAAGACGCAACACACCUGCUCGUCUUCACGCAGGUGUUUUUCAAUCAGCUGAUGACCGCUGAUUGCUUCCUCCUCCUCUUCCUCUUCUUAUUUAAUCUUCCUCCACCCAACAUUCCCGUGAUGUUACUUUGAAGAGAAGCUGCACGAGCCGUGGAACGAAAAAAAAAAGACGCGAAAAAGUGUUGCUGAACUACAGAAACUGUUCCGGGAGGAGAGAACUUUUGGCGGUAAUGCACCAACCGCCAUAAAACCUCAAAAAAGAAGGAGGGAACUAACAAAAGCAGAGAAAUAAAAGAAAAGAAAACUACCGCGGCGUGACGUCAGACGCCGAAAAGAUGGUCGGUGCAUCAGCUCCUGUUUAAAGACUUAGCGCAGCAAGGCGCUCCAGGAUGGCGUGUUCGACCUGGUCCAGAUUGGUGGCUCGUCCACAAUGGAACAACCUGCUUCCUGCUCACGGAGACCUGGUCGGACCGCCAUAUACAAAAAGUGUGAGGCUGUCAAAAAAAGAUUGAUCUUCAUGAAGAUCGUCAAAUAGUAAGGUGUGAUGAUUUAGUUCUGGGUGUCCGCUGUGUCCCCACUCUUUCUUGGCCGCUGUGCCUACAUCUCUCUGCAUUGUCCAACAUGGCCACGUUCUCUCUCUUCUCCUGCUUUCCAUCUGUCAAAUAGCUGAAGGUUGUACAUGGAGCAUUUGCCACAGGUUGGUUUUGUAUGUUCCUGACCACUUUAUCUGGUGGUCUGUAAAUCUGGUCCUUGUUGGUUAUGUUUUUGUGGAACUGCUGAGCGAGUGAUUUGAAAGAGUGAUGUGACUGAUGGAGUGUUUGAGAUUGUCUCUCUGAAUGAAUGUGUUGUGUGUGUGUGUGUGACUGAGAUGCCUGGAUUGAAUAGUUAAGAUGGUGUGAGAAUGUGAUUAUGUUCAGCAGUUCACAUUAAAGUAGAUCUGGUGUCUUGAAGGGCUUAGAUGCUUGAUAAGUUAUAAUGCACUAACAUUUCCUUUUUAGGUCUGUCUACAAAGGGUGAGUCCAUAUUUUCUUAUGUCUUCUCUGGGGGCGGGGCUACCUUCUUGCCCUCCAUGUGUGCUAGGGUUUGCAGAGUAGGGGAAUAAACAAAAGAAAACUUGUGUGUUGUGUUUUUUGAAAUGAAGGUACUUAGGUGUCGGCAACUGACUUCCUGGUCUGGCUGCUCACAGCUAACUACUGAGUGUACAUGCAAAGGUAAGAACACGCCUCCACAGAGAGGCGUGUUCUUGCCUUGCCUCUGUACUCUUAACCACUUUUUCUUUCCAACUGUUACGCAGGCCGCGGGCCAUCGCUGUUCCGGCCGCCGUGUCGCUCUGUCCUGGCCCUCCUCGUGCCUUUCCUCACUUCUAAAGGGAACAAACAAUAUCAACUUGGAACUGUUUUUGUUAGCACUAAACUAUAGUGAUGUUGGAGGACCAGAUCUUUAAUAUGAGGUUUAAUUAGAUGUUGGUGUACAGUUAAAGCUAGAUGGUAGGAAUAAAGUUAAUGCUGUGCCUUGUACGCUCUGUCACAAGGCUUAGACUUCUUGGCCGCUGUGCCUUUUCUUUUUUUUUUCUCUUUUCCAACGUGGCCAUUAAUCCACCGUUAGCCCUAGAACGUUAAAGUAGAUCCUGGUGAUCUACAAACAUAGUACCUGGCUUUAGAUGGCAGCCCUGCCAUAGCCUUAGUAUGGCCAUUACGUCCUUUAAUGCAAGUAGGCCAUGAUCGCUAACUGUGCCCGCGCCUUCGUGAUCUACUUGUGUUCUUGUCCGUGUGGCCUUGCGCGUAUAGUCGUGUUACAUAGACAAACAUGGGUGCCUUCCGCGUCCAUGCACAGUAAGUCAACUAACCUGUACUUUCCUUCUAGCAUCAGUCAAGAGGAGCAACGACAUCCCUGCAUGUCCAUCUUAAUUAGAUUGCGUUUUAGUUACAAUAACAUUUCAAAUGUUAAGUAGUUUUCUCUCUGUGUGUGUGUGUGUGUGUGUGUGUGUGUGUGUGUGUGUGUGUGUGUGUGUGUGUGUGUGUGUGUGUGUGUGUGUGUGUGUGUGUGUGUGUGUGUGUGUGUGUGUGUGUGUGUGUGUGUGUGUGUGUGUGUGUGUGUGUGUGUGUGUGUGUGUGUGUGUGUGUGUGUGUGUGUGUGUGUGUGUGACUACAAGCAAAUUCAAAUUAUUUCAAAAACAGGUCAUAUUUUGACCUUUCGGGUAAGUAUUAAAGGCCUUUGCCACAUGAUCUUUGUGGGUAAAUCAUGUCCACUCAAUUUAUAAAGUUAAUUUGCAUCUAACCAUUUACAAUGGCAUUACAAUAAUCUCUUUUUUUAUAGAGUGCAAAGGCCUUUAUUUACACACAGACAAAUGCCAAGACUGCUGUCAUGGCAUUUGUCCGUGUCUCUCUCUCGCUGUUCUGUGUGUCUGUCUGUCUGGUGUCUCUGUCUUUCUCUGGGUCUGGUCUCUGUCUUUCUCUGGGUCUGUCUCUCUUGCUGUCCAGUCUCCGUCUGUCUGUCUUUCUAUGUGUCUCUCUCUGUGUCUGUCUGUCUUGUGUGUCUGGUCUCUGUCUGUCUGUCCUGUGCGUUGGAUUGAGUAACUUUUUUUAGUCUUAACUUAAAUGGAUGAUUUUAAAGUUGAUUAGUUUGAGGCGUCUGAUUUCUGCAGGAUUUUCUGGUGCCUUACUUUGAAGUGGCUUUAAUUUAAAGAUUUAAUCUUGGUCUUGAAUCUCAGUUAUCAUAGUUGCAACUUGGACUGUUGACAAACGUGGAAGCUGAUGAAUCGUGGAGUAAAUGCAUCAAAGUUUACUGUAGCUUGUUUAAAGUUCUUUCAAAGUGCUGUAAAAACGUAGUAAUUGAUUAUGAUGAGCGAGACCAGGUCUUCCUUUAUUCUAAACUGCUAAUUGCUUUGUUAGAUAACUGGUUCCUGAUUUGAUUAUGAAGCUAAACUUUUGAUUUAUAUGCAAGUGGAGUCACAUUAGAUUGUAGGUGUUGUUCAGCCCAUGGAGAAUGUUAUGAUAUACUUUAAAUCCAUUGAAGUCUUAAACUUUACGCACUGCCAUCAGCCUUUGUAGUCGCUAACUGAAGUCGAUAUUCAAUAUUAAUGCUGACUUGUCUCACUCUGCCAAGUUUAUUUCCCUCUAAAGGAGUUGAACCUUUUUGUGUUCAUAGUCUUUUUGCGCGUCAUGUUGGGAGGCCUCCCAGCAGGGGAUUUCUAUCUUCCCCUGCAAAACUAUGCGUUACUCGUCUUAGGGAUGCAGGGCUAUCAUCUGCAUCGUUUCUUUCAAAAAUUAGAUUUGUAGGUUUCAGGAUUAGAGCGCGUUUCUUUGCUUUAGGAGGACACAAACCUGGCAGAGAGACAACUCGGAUUAUUUAAGUGAAAGUGUUCGAACUUUUUAUCUUUUGAUACGACGACUUGAAAUCAAACUUUUAUUCUGUGGGCUGAAUUCAGACAGUAAUCAGACAGAAUUUGGCUUCAUGUUAAAGACUAUUGUGCAAGUACCCUCUUGUAGCAGGAGUGAGCAGCUGCAGCUCUAUUUUUCGUUAUUUGAUUUGUUUCUUGGAUUGACUUGGUGUCUGGAGCUUUGUGGUUAACAGUGAUCAUGUAAGUGAUCUUUUGCCUGUUAUUUGCGAAGCUUGUUGAAAUGAUAGGACUUUAUGACUUUCCCAAAGUGGGAUUUUUGAUAGAUCAUAGGUUUAACACCUCACCAUACACUAGCUAUUUCAGCGACAACACGUGUCAAAUUUCACAAUUUAGGGAGCUUGUAGAGUCUUUAGGAAGAUGCUUAAUCCCAAUGUCUUGGUUGGUUGCAUGAGAAACUUCUAUCUCUUAGAUGUGUUGGCAAAGUUCCUCCUCUGAUUUUUGUAGACUUGCCCUAAAGUUUCUCUCUGCUUUAACUCUUGUUGAGCUUUGCAUUAAAUGAUUCCUCCAACUUGUCUCCAUAUCAAUUGUUUUCUCCCUGCAGACUUCCACCACCCACUGCUGCUGUUGCCUCUGCUAAAGGUAGCCGUAUCCUGAUUCACUGCGUCUUCAUGUGUUGGGUAAGAAGUGUCAUUAGACUACUAACAAUGUAAACACCUUUAAAUGCUUGAUCUAAUUUACCCAAAUGGUUCAUCAGUUUAGGACAAAAAGUCAUUGACUUUGACAUUGUUGGGGUCAGUAAUCUGACCUCUAAAUGUUUGGGAAACAUGCAAAAGAUCGCAAGCUCUCUGCAUGACCCAACAGCAUCCAUGUUUGAGUUAUUUCAUUGCUCAAUUUUUAAAUCAGUCAAGAUUUUAUGAGCUGGGUCUUCUUCACACAACAGAGAACAAGGUAAAUUGAGUCGACUCGUAACAUGGAAAGGCAUUUCGUCCUUCCCCUUCUUCUCUUUGUGUGAGGAAAUCUGGCCACGGAUCCUGACUGAGUGGCAUACCAUGACUGCAGUUUCCAAAAUCAGAUAAGGAUCCAUCUGAUUUUGUUACUCGGCCUGUCAUGAUAUGCUUUUAUCUUCCUCUGAAACAAAGGAUUGGAAUGGACAGGUUUGUAGUGUAGAUCACAUCACAUGUAGAUGUUGAAGCAUUUGUUUAAAUUGGAGUCAAGCAUUUUCAGGCGUCUGCUUUGUCAAUACUCUGGUGCCACGUCUUGCUAAACACACGAGAAGCUCUGAAUUGUGAAACUGCUGCCUCUUGCAGAUGUUACAACAGCAAUGGUUGUUGAAAGGCUGCAGGGAGAGAAAAGGAGAUCUGAGGACGGGAAAGUGGAAUUGAUUUCAUGCUUAGCAAAAUGAGGGUUUCAGCAGAGGACCUUUUUGUGGCGAGGCUACAGAAUCAGAAGGAACGUUUGUCUGGGCAACUGGGAGAUUUACAGUUUUUCAUGCAGACAACCAAGACAUCGGGGUUAGCAUCAUCCCAAAUGGCUGGUGAAGAUUGCUUGUAACUGUCAGUGUAGGACAGGAAAGGCAGUUAUAGGUCAGGGAGGGUAUCCAUCGGUGAGCUCUGACUGGAUGUGAGGACCUGUCACACUUGACCAGAGAUGAAGGCUGGAUCAGAGGACUCCAUGUUGGACACCACGACCUGGAGAAGUCCCGUCCUGGAUGGCUGCGGUGAUGACCUAGCCCAAGAUGAACCGACCUUUUCCACGGGGUGUCUUCAGAUGUUGGACCUUGCCAAACUGUGCACAUGCCUCAAUGGCUGCUCAGCACUGCCCGACAGGACAUGGUCACCGAGAUUUUUUUGAUUUUUAUUUUUUUUUAAAUGGACUCUAACCCCCCCUGUCCCCACUGACCCACAACCACACAUGACAAAACACUGCACAUGUGAUGCAUCACCACACUAAAAUACAGACACUGCUACUUUCAGCCUGUAAUGUCAGACAUUGAAAACUUGUAUUUAUUGCCUUCUUUAUAUCAAGUAAAACUUUUGUUCUUAA